rnacentral:rRNA from 1 species
UACGAAGGGGGCUAGCGUUGCUCGGAAUCACUGGGCGUAAAGCGCACGUAGGCGGCUUUUUAAGUCAGGGGUGAAAUCCUGGAGCUCAACUCCAGAACUGCCUUUGAUACUGGGAAGCUUGAGUCCGGGAGAGGUGAGUGGAACUCCGAGUGUAGAGGUGAAAUUCGUAGAUAUUCGGAAGAACACCAGUGGCGAAGGCGGCCCUCUGGACCGGUACUGACGCUGAUGCGCGAAAGCGUGGGGAGCAAACGGG